GCGAGAGUAGCUCAGUCGGUAGAGCGCAACUUUCCCAAAGUUGAGGUCGCGAGUUCGAACCUCGUCUCUCGCU
rnacentral:tRNA from 1 species